UACGAAGGGGGGCUAGCGUUGCUCGGAAUCACUGGGCGUAAAGGGUGCGUAGGCGGGUCUUUUAAGUCAGGGGUGAAAUCUGGAGCUCAACCCCCGGAACUGCCUUUGAUACUGGGUGUCUAGAGUAUGGAAGAGGUGAGUGGAAUUCCGAGUGUAGAGGUGAAAUUCGUAGAUAUUCGGAGGAACACCAGUGGCGAAGGCGGCUCACUGGUCCAUUACUGACGCUGAGGUGCGAAAGCGUGGGGAGCAAACAGG
rnacentral:rRNA from 1 species